AGCGAUGGCACAGCUGAGAUUGUAACCAUGCAGAGAUAUCCAAGGUAUGUAGUGUGUCAAAGCACCCGUCCCGGGACUGUGAGAAUCUGGAAUGUGGCACGGACGCGAUUCAAGGGUCGUCCUGUGCAGGUAGAGCAUGGCCUGUUCUCCAGUUCAGACAUCGCUCUUGUACGAGACCUGAAACUCUAUAUACUGUCUGACCGCAGAACCGCCAACUUCUCAGAUACACCUACAUCUGUCUACCAGACAUUGCUGGUGUAUGACCUUCUUAAAAAGAGCUACAUUAAGAAACAGACUGGACUGUUCAUCGUGCCCUGUCCUCGACAAGACUAUCGGCUCUUAGAUGGUGAAAUACUGCUGGGUCUUUCAGAAACACGGU
rnacentral:lncRNA from 1 species